ACUGAAAUAUUUUAGGUUUGAAUUUCCAGUUUAAAAGCUUUUGCAUUUUGGUAUAGUGAUGAGUGUUGAAACUUGAGAGUUGAGAGUGGUGAAUAAGAAAAAUGAUGUUGAUUCGCUCAAGAUGCAAACUUUUUGAUAUUUUUCGUGUUGGGUCUCUUCCACUGUACUCCACGGAAGCUGUGGUUUCUUCUCCCCCAGCACUUGAAAAACGCAUUUUGGAGAGUGGGAACCCCAAGAUUUCAAUGGUUCCUAUUCUGAACCAAUGGGUUGAAGAAGGCAAAGACGUCACCCAACCUCAGCUCCAACGUAUCAUCACACAACUCUCUAAUUUUCGUCGCUUCACGCAUGCCCUUCAGGUAUCAGAAUGGAUGAGCAAUGAAAGGAACUAUAACUUAACUCCAGGAGACAUUGCUAAACGGCUCAACCUGAUAUCAAAAGUUCAUGGCCUAGAACAAGCAGAGAGCUUUUUUAGAGGCAUACCCGACACUGAAAUUGGGUUCAAGGUCUAUGCUGCUCUUUUGAGUUGCUAUGCAGAACAUAAAUCUUUGGAGGAAGCGGAAGCUAUCAUGGAGAAAAUUAAGAAGUUGGAUUUAUUGCACUUAACAACGUGUUACAACAUGAUGUUAAAACUUUAUGCUCAGAUAGGUAAAUAUGAGAAAUUGGAUAGGUUGAUGCAAGAAAUGAAAGAGAAGGACAUCUGCAAUGGUGCUACGUUUACUAUUCGGUUGAAUGCUUAUGUGGCCGGUAGAGACAUAAAGGGGAUGGAGAAGUUACUAAUGCAGAUGGAAGCCGAUCCCAUGGCAACUGUGGACUGGUGUACAUACACUACUGCAGCAAACGGCUAUCUGAAAAUUGGGGAUUUUGAGAAGGCCUUGGUAACAUUGAAGAAAUCAGAGCAGUUAGUUAGAGGCAAGACGAUGAGGCUUGCCUAUGAAUCUAUUCAAUCUAUGUAUGCUGCUAUUGGGAAUAAGGAGGAGGUUUAUCGACUUUGGGAUAAGAUCAAAAGUUUUAAUUAUUCCCACAACUCAAGUUACAUAAGUAUGUUAAGCUCAUUAGUGAAGCUGGAUGACAUUGAUGGGGCAGAGAAGAUUUUGGAAGAAUGGGAAUCUGAACAUAUACAUUUUGACGCCAGAAUUCCAAAUUUGAUGAUCACUGCAUAUUGUAAACGGGGUCUGUUGGAUAAGGCUGAGGCCUAUAUCAGGAGGCUUUUGGAUAGUGGCAAGGAAUUAGAUGGAACUACAUGGGACCGUUUGGCGGGUGGCUAUCUCAUGGAUAAUGAUAUGGAAAAAGCAGUUCAAACAAUGAAGAAAGCAAUCUUGGUAAAUGGACAACCACGAUGGUGGCCUAACCCCUUCACUUUGGUUGCAUGUAUCAAGUACCUGAAAGAAAAAGGAGAUUUGGAAUUAGCCCUUGAGAUUCUUAAGUUAUGUAGAGAAGAUGGUCAUAUCUCAGUCACUACCUAUGAUAAACUAGUAAGUUAUGUUCAUAAUGAAAUUCCAGUUACUGAAGCCCUUGAUCUGAUUAAAGGAGAUUUUAAACUGGAUGAAGACGCUCAACUUCUUGUUGGAGAAAACUGAUGGUUGAAUGUAAAAGAUGGGCAGAACUGAAUUACUCUUGUAAAGGAUGUGUUCAGUUGUUUCCAAGAAAGAGUAAAUUAUUUAGCCAUAGAAAAUACAUGGGAUUAUUUGGCAACUGGAACUGGCUGUUGCAUAAAGAAUAGUAAGGAAAAAGAUUUGGAAGCGGUGAAUGAUGCAAUUUUGGCUGAUCAACCAGAUGGACCAAGAUGAAAAGCAUGUUAACUAUGCUCACAUGUUGAAGAUAAUCUAGAGCACUAAACAAGAUGAGAACUCUACUAUUAACUUAUUUAGAAACUCAUUCCUUGAAAUUCUAUUGAUACAAUAACUCUUCAAUCUAUAUAAGCUGUAUACACGUACUUGAGAGUUGAGACCAAUCUUAUUAGAACCGGACCGGUCAUUGACCCGGUCGAGGUACCGGGUCACUGGGUCAAUGGUUCAAC